GAUGAACGCUGGCGGCGUGCCUAAUACAUGCAAGUCGAGCGAACGGACGAGAAGCUUGCUUCUCUGAUGUUAGCGGCGGACGGGUGAGUAACACGUGGAUAACCUACCUAUAAGACUGGGAUAACUUCGGGAAACCGGAGCUAAUACCGGAUGAUAUUUUGAACCGCAUGGUUCGAAAGUGAAAGACGGUCUUGCUGUCACUUAUAGAUGGAUCCGCGCUGCAUUAGCUAGUUGGUAAGGUAAUGGCUUACCAAGGCAACGAUGCAUAGCCGACCUGAGAGGGUGAUCGGCCACACUGGAACUGAGACACGGUCCAGACUCCUACGGGAGGCAGCAGUAGGGAAUCUUCCGCAAUGGGCGAAAGCCUGACGGAGCAACGCCGCGUGAGUGAUGAAGGUCUUCGGAUCGUAAAACUCUGUUAUUAGGGAAGAACAUAUGUGUAAGUAACUGUGCACAUCUUGACGGUACCUAAUCAGAAAGCCACGGCUAACUACGUG
rnacentral:rRNA from 1 species